GACGAACGCUGGCGGCGUGCCUAAUACAUGCAAGUCGAGCGAAUGGAUUAAGAGCUUGCUCUUAUGAAGUUAGCGGCGGACGGGUGAGUAACACGUGGGUAACCUGCCCAUAAGACUGGGAUAACUCCGGGAAACCGGGGCUAAUACCGGAUAAUAUUUUGAACUGCAUGGUUCAAAAUUGAAAGGCGGAUUCGGCUGUCACUUAUGGAUGGACCCGCGUCGCAUUAGCUAGUUGGUGAGGUAACGGCUCACCAAGGCAACGAUGCGUAGCCGACCUGGGAGGGUGAUCUGCCACACUGGGACUGGGACACGGCCCAGACUCCUACGGGAGGCAGCAGUAGGGAAUCUUCCGCAAUGGACGAAAGUCUGACGGAGCAACGCCGCGUGAGUGAUGAAGGCUUUCGGGUCGUAAAACUCUGUUGUUAGGGAAGAACAAGUGCUAGUUGAAUAAGCUGGCACCUUGACGGUACCUAACCAGAAAGCCACGGCUAACUACGUGCCAGCCGCCGCGGUAA
rnacentral:rRNA from 1 species